rnacentral:lncRNA from 1 species
CCCGAGCUGCAGCCGUACCGCCGCUCUGAGCGGCGCUUCUGGGGCCGGAGAGCCGCGCAACUCCCGACACAGUGUUGCGGCUCCGUGGAGCAAUAAAUAACGCCGCUCAGGUACUUUUUCUUCCAGAGAGCCAUACAAAUUGGUCCGUGUUGACAGACGUUUGUCACUUAGUAACUUCUUUCCAAGGUUGUUUUUUUUUUUUUUCCCUCCCUCUUCCCUCCUCUAAGCCUUCUUCCGAGCCCGCUUUGUUGUUUUAAAAUAUGCAUGUCUCUCAGGAAUGCGAGUCACGAGUCCAAACUUCGUGUCCAACCUCCCACAAGAAAUGAUCCUUUUAUAGGGAACCCGAUAUGUCUCAAUCUGCACUUCACUCAAAGCCGCUGGAUAUAGGGCGCCGCUCCCUGCGCGCAAAUCACCGAGCCAGAGCGCCUUUCUAGCCCCCCCCCCCCAGAAACACACGCAUGGCUCCCGGGGAGGAAAUACAUCUCCCAUGGCAUGGGCCGUCGCAAGCAGUGGGUUUGCCAAGGACGUGCCCCUGUGCAACUCCGGGUGCGUGGGGAGAAGGCGUCAGCUCGUGGCGAGCGGAGGAGAGAUGGAGGAGCUGAGCCCAACUUCGGGAAAAGAAGUGUGGAAGGAAGGACACAAAGAUGGUGUAUCGGUGACAGGAAGAAAGUGGCCUUUUAAUGAGAACUAA